rnacentral:rRNA from 1 species
AUUGAACGCUGGCGGCAUGCCUUACACAUGCAAGUCGAACGGCAGCACGGGGCAACCUGGUGGCGAGUGGCGAACGGGUGAGUAAUGCAUCGGAACGUACCUUUCAGUGGGGGAUAACGUAGCGAAAGUUACGCUAAUACCGCAUAUUCUGUGAGCAGGAAAGCAGGGGAUCGCAAGAACUUGCGCUGAUUGAGCGGCCGAUGUCAGAUUAGCUAGUUGGUGAGGUAAAGGCUCACCAAGGCGACGAUCUGUAGCGGGUCUGAGAGGAUGAUGCGCCACACUGGAACUGAGACACGGUCCAGACUCCUACGGGAGGCAGCAGUGGGGAAUUUUGGACAAUGGGGGCAACCCUGAUCCAGCCAUGCCGCGUGUGUGAAGAAGGCCUUCGGGUUGUAAAGCUCUGUCUUCCUGGAAGAAAUCGCACGGGCUAAUACCCUGUGUGGAUGACGGUACCGGAAUAAGAAGCACCGGCUAACUACGUGCCAGCAGCCGCAGUAACAC